GGCGGGAUAGCUCAGUUGGUCAGAGCGCACGGCUCAUAAUCGUGAGGUCCCGGGUUCGAGUCCCGGUCCCGCUACAA
rnacentral:tRNA from 1 species